rnacentral:rRNA from 1 species
UACGUAGGGGGCAAGCGUUGUCCGGAUUUAUUGGGCGUAAAGCGCUCGCAGGCGGCUCGAUGCGUCGUGCGUGAAACACCCCGGCUCAACUGGGGAGGGUCGUGCGAUACGGUCGGGCUGGAGGCCAGUAGGGGGAUGCGGAAUUCCGGGUGUAGUGGUGGAAUGCGUAGAGAUCCGGAGGAACACCAGCGGCGAAGGCGGCAUCCUGGACUGGUACUGACGCUGAGGAGCGAAAGCCAGGGGAGCAAACGGGG